rnacentral:rRNA from 1 species
GAUGAACGCUAGCGAUAGGCUUAACACAUGCAAGUCGAGGGGCAGCACAAGGUAGCUUGCUAUCUGGGUGGCGACCGGCGCACGGGUGCGUAACGCGUAUGCAACUUGCCCUAUACAGGAGGAUAACCCGUCGAAAGACGGACUAAUACUGCGUAUGCUCACAACUUGGCAUCAAGUGGUGAGGAAAGAAAUUCGGUAUAGGAUAGGCAUGCGUCCCAUUAGCUUGUUGGUGAGGUAACGGCUCACCAAGGCGACGAUGGGUAGGGGAACUGAGAGGUUUAUCCCCCACACUGGUACUGAGACACGGACCAGACUCCUACGGGAGGCAGCAGUGAGGAAUAUUGGUCAAUGGGCGCGAGCCUGAACCAGCCAAGUCGCGUGAAGGAUGACUGUCUUAUGGAUUGUAAACUUCUUUUAUACGGGAAUAACAAGAGUCACGUGUGACUCCCUGCAUGUACCGUAUGAAUAAGCAUCGGCUAACUCCGUG